rnacentral:rRNA from 1 species
AGCGAACGCUGGCGGCAGGCUUAACACAUGCAAGUCGAACGCCCGUAGCAAUACGGGAGUGGCAGACGGGUGAGUAACGCGUGGGAACAUGCCCUUUGGUUCGGAAUAACUCAGGGAAACUUGAGCUAAUACCGGAUAAGCCCGAGAGGGGAAAGAUUUAUCGCGGAAGGAUUGGCCCGCGUCCGAUUAGCUAGUUGGUGAGGUAAUGGCGCACCAAGGCGACGAUCGGUAGCUGGUCUGAGAGGAUGAGCAGCCACACUGGGACUGAGACACGGCCCAGACUCCUACGGGAGGCAGCAGUGGGGAAUAUUGGACAAUGGGGGCAACCCUGAUCCAGCCACGCCGCGUGAGUGAUGAAGGCCCUAGGGUUUUAAAGCUCUUUCGGCGGGGACGAUAAUGACGGUACCCGCAGAAGAAGCCCCGGCUAACUUCGUGCCAGCAGCCGCCGUAA